rnacentral:lncRNA from 1 species
UUCACCCCUCUCCUUCACUGGAUUAGGACAUGCCGUGCCUCCUCCACCCGCGUCGCGGCGCUCAAUCCCCUAGAACCAGGAUGGAUCAAAUCAAAGCUGAGGAGCUCCUCAUGGCAUUAGCCACCCGCCCUCCUAGCGAUAGAGCGCACCCCUGAGUGGCCACACCUUGCCGGCCUUGCUCCGCCACUGCUAACCUCCACCGUCGCUCGCCACCGGCCAACCCCAACCACCUCACUGCGCAGGGAAGCUGCUCAGGUAGGGUCAUUGUGCUACCCAAACACCCACUUGAACUACACAACCCCUCUAGCGCCCAACCCCCUCACGGCCGCACCGCUGUGGUUGCUCCCGCGAGCCCUAGCUCCACCGCCGGCCACCACCUGACGUCGACACCACCUCCCAAAAGACUGUCGUGCCCCAAACCACCCCAUGGCCACUUUUGGGCCUGGCCUGAGGGCCACCUCACCCGGAGCAACAUGCUCCGGCGAGCCCCUCUGCCCCCACGGUGCUCUGGCGACCAAAGCCGAGUGGCGCCACCCCAGCCUUCCACUCACGUAGACCCAUGACCCACACCCUCCUCUCGGUCCACACACACGCACCCACGGGUGCACCAGCACAGCUACAGUGCGGCCCCACACUAGUCCCACACCCCUUGCCUCGUUUCCCUGCACAACAUCCACAUACACCGCACAAACAACCGUGCCCCUGCGGUUCACCACCCGGCACAGGAGUGUACCACAUGGCCGCCACGCGGGCUGCCACGUAGGCCCAGGAGCCGCGUCAUGCCAUGGCCCGCCUGUCGGCCUCUCUCUUCUCUCCCCCUUGUUCUGCUACAACCACACAAGUUAUUGCACACCAAAUUUUGCAAACACAUACAUGCUAGAAAUCCCCCAAAA